UUAGAUGACCUCGACGACAACCAAUCUGGAAUUUAUCACCAAAACGGGGAUUCGGUAACCGUUACAACAACAAGAACCGAAUAUGUAUCGGAAAUAUUGGUAAAACUCUGAUAUAUUAGUGAUAUUUAGAGAUUUUUUUUUGAUAGGGCUCACCCUUGCGUCAAAAAUAGGUCAUUUCCGGUCAAUACUUCCCCUUGCCUCUAUCACCUACUAUAAAGACCUUCGGUUGUCUUAUUGUGUAAUCGUGAUGUUAAAAAUGUAUACAAUCGGGCCAAUACUACAUGUAACCCUCUUAUACCUAAAAUAAAAAUUUCAAACUUUCGGUGGGCUUAAUAUCUUUUAUAUAUAAAAAUUAAGUGAACGUAUAAUAUUGGAUAUUAUUACUAUAGUAAUUUUGUAAUGCAAAAAUAUGUGAAAUCGGUGAAUCGGUCUGGGAUUGAAGGACAAUAGGUCGAUUUAAUGCAUUUGGCGCCUAACUCACCACCUUAAAUCAAUGUAUUAGAAAAGAUGUGAGGAUGGUAGGCUCGCAAAGCUUUCGAGUGUGGUCCGCAGUAUUCCACUAAUGAGAAAUUAGUUGAAGAUAUUAAAAAGGCUUGCUCAUCAAUUUCCUUAAAUUAUAUUGGAAAUUGUACAAAUCGCUACCCAAUUGAUCUUUGAGAGCAUAGUCAAUAAGGUGCGAUCGGCUUAUUAUUAAAAUAACAUAAAAAUGUUCAAAUUAGUACACACAUAUGUAAGUUUAAAAAUAUGUUCUUAGCUAAAAAAUGUUAAACAAUAUUAAAAAAAAGUGACACUGGCUAACCUGAUUAUCUAAUUUAAAUUAAUUUUUUUGUUGAUUCUGAAAAAAUUUAUUAAAGAAGGUGGUAAAAAAACACUAAUUGUUGUUUUAUUUAGUAGAAAAUUUAUACGUUUAUAAUCGGUAAUAAUUUUAGAAUUGUAGCUUUUUUAGUUUUGAUAGAUAUUAACCAAAACUAUUUAAACCUGAAGUGUGCAAACCUGAUGAAGCAGUGUACGUAUCUCGGACAUGAAGCAGAAUAUACAAGUAGUAACGAAACUAAACUUUCGUCGCAUAAUGAGUGUUGAAUUCUUCCGCACCGUUUUUUAAUUAUAAGUUUUGCCAACACUUCAAAGUAUUUCCCGGGCUUUGAUUAUUUCAAACUGUAAGAAUAUAAAAUAUUCGGUUACACCCGCAUUUAGCUCUUCCUUACUUGUUUUUUAACUAAUUUUAUGCAUAAACUAAAAAUACUACUUACCCAAAGUAGACAUUAUCCUUUAAAAGUAUAAUUUCAAUAUUCGAGUAUGUUCUUAUAUUCACUUCAUUAUUAUUAAAAUAAUAAUCUUAUUAAUUCAAUUUCAUUAACCUAAUAUCUGUUCUAUACUAAGUAUAUAUUAACAUAUAGUUGUUUGUGUAAAUAUUAUUUCUUUUUACUGAUGCUGAGGUUUUUAAUUGUUGUUUAUUUGUUGCUUGUAUUGUUUAUUUGUUAUAUCAAUUUCAAAGUAUACGCUUUUCCUCUGCUGCAGGUGUAUUAUUUGAAAAAUUAUUAGUAUGAUUUUAGAUUUUUUUCUCUUAACAAAAAUUAAGCAUUUCUCUGAUAAGAAAGCAAGUGCAUAAUUGGAUGGGAACUUCAGUAAUUUUACUCAAUUGCCAUUCGCAACUAUGUUUAUAUUAUAUAUAUUGUAUAUAGCACAAGACAUUGAAUAAAAAAAACAUAUUCCGACAGGAAUAUUUUAUCUUUAAUGCCAAACCAUUCAGUUAUAGCAUGAAUUAUUCCUCAAUAAAGUCUUAUUAAAAUUGUAUAACAAUCUCUACAAAUGAAAAAGCAGUACAUUCUCAAAACCAACAAAAUAUACAUAAGCUUUCAAAUCUUGAACAUCUACUUACAUAUGUAUGUGUUUAUAAAAUAUUGAAUUGUAAAUAAUGCGGUGUCUUAUGGAAAGUUUAUUAAAUAUGUUUGAGUUUAAAGGCCAAUAGUCAUAGUUGAAAACAAAGUACAAUUUGAAGUUAGCAAUAGAUUUUUACAGAACAUAACAAAUUAUGUUAAUAAGGUGCUAACUUACUUACUUAAAUGUAGACUUCACUUCGACUAUGACAAAAAAAUUAUGUGUUCGAGUAGAAAUUAUAAUA